UAAUACGGGGGGAGCAAGCGUUGUUCGGAAUCACUGGGCGUAAAGCGCGCGUAGGCGGCCGAGUAAGUCGUAUGUGAAAGCCCGGGGCUCAACUCCGGUAUUGCAUGCGAUACUGCCCGGCUGGAGAAAGGUAGAGGCAAGUGGAAUUCCCGGUGUAGCGGUGGAAUGCGUAGAUAUCGGGAAGAACACCUGUGGCGAAGGCGGCUUGCUGGGCCUUUUCUGACGCUGAAGUGCGAAAGCGUGGGGAGCAAACAGGAUUAGAUACCCUGGUAGUCCACGCCGUAAACGAUGGGUACUAGGCGUUGGGAGGAUUUGACCCUCUCAGUGCCGUAGCUAACGCGUUAAGUACCCCGCCUGGGGAGUACGGCCGCAAGGCUG
rnacentral:rRNA from 1 species